UACGAAGGGGGCUAGCGUUGCUCGGAUUUACUGGGCGUAAAGGGCGCGUAGGCGGAUAACCAAGUUGGGGGUGAAAUCCCGGGGCUUAACCUCGGAACUGCCUCCAAAACUGGUUGUCUUGAGUUUGGGAGAGGUGUGUGGAACUCCGAGUGUAGAGGUGAAAUUCGUAGAUAUCAGGAGGAACACCAGUGGCGAAGGCGGCUUCCUGGACACCAACUGACGCUGAGACGCGAAAGCGUGGGGAGCAAACAGG
rnacentral:rRNA from 1 species